rnacentral:misc_RNA from 1 species
UUUCCGUAGGUGAACCUGCGGAAGGAUCAUUAUCGUACAAAAUGUGAGGGGCAUGCGAGGGCUGUCGCUGACCCAAGAGUCGUGCACGCCCGAGUGUGUCCUCUUGCAUAAUAAUCCAUCUCACCCUUUGUGCAUCACCGCGUGGGCACCCUUCGGGAUCAUCUCGGAGGGGGGCUCGCGUUUUCACACAAACCCCCCUUUUAAAAGUGUAGAAUGACCACAUUUAUGCAAUCAAUACAACUUUCAACAACGGAUCUCUUGGCUCUC